CAGCAGCCGCGGUAAUACGUAGGGUGCGAGCGUUAAUCGGAAUUACUGGGCGUAAAGCGUGCGCAGGCGGUUGUGUAAGACAGGUGUGAAAUCCCCGAGCUUAACCUGGGAACUGCGCUUGUGACUGCACAGCUAGAGUAUGGCAGAGGGGGGUGGAAUUCCACGUGUAGCAGUGAAAUGCGUAGAGAUGUGGAGGAACACCGAUGGCGAAGGCAGCCCCCUGGGCCAAUACUGACGCUCAUGCACGAAAGCGUGGGGAGCAAACAGGAUUAGAUACCCGCGUAGUCCCUGUCUCUUAUAC
rnacentral:rRNA from 1 species